GACGAACGCUGGCGGCGCGCCUAACACAUGCAAGUCGAACGAGCGAGAGAGAGCUUGCUUUCUCAAGCGAGUGGCGAACGGGUGAGUAACGCGUGAGGAACCUGCCUCAAAGAGGGGGACAACAGUUGGAAACGACUGCUAAUACCGCAUAAGCCCACGGGUCGGCAUCGACCAGAGGGAAAAGGAGCAAUCCGCUUUGAGAUGGCCUCGCGUCCGAUUAGCUAGUUGGUGAGGUAAUGGCCCACCAAGGCGACGAUCGGUAGGCGGACUGAGAGGUUGAACGGCCACAUUGGGACUGAGACACGGCCCAGACUCCUACGGGAGGCAGCAGUGGGGAAUAUUGCACAAUGGGGGAAACCCUGAUGCAGCGACGCCGCGUGGAGGAAGAAGGUCUUCGGAUUGUAAACUCCUGUUGUUGAGGAAGAUAAUGACGGUACUCAACAAGGAAGUGACGGCUAACUACGUGCCAGCAGCCGCGGUAAAACGUAGGUCACAAGCGUUGUCCGGAAUUACUGGGUGUAAAGGGAGCGCAGGCGGGAAGACAAGUUGGAAGUGAAAUCUAUGGGCUCAACCCAUAAACUGCUUUCAAAACUGUUUUUCUUGAGUAGUGCAGAGGUAGGCGGAAUUCCCGGUGUAGCGGUGGAAUGCGUAGAUAUCGGGAGGAACACCAGUGGCGAAGGCGGCCUACUGGGCACCAACUGACGCUGAGGCUCGAAAGUGUGGGUAGCAAACA
rnacentral:rRNA from 1 species